UGAGGAAUAUUGGACAAUGGAGGCAACUCUGAUCCAGCCAUGCCGCGUGCAGGAAGACUGCCCUAUGGGUUGUAAACUGCUUUUAUAGAGGAAGAAACCUCCCUACGUGUAGGGAGCUGACGGUACUCUACGAAUAAGGAUCGGCUAACUCCGUGCCAGCAGCCGCGGUAAUACGGAGGAUCCAAGCGUUAUCCGGAAUCAUUGGGUUUAAAGGGUCCGUAGGCGGGCAGUUAAGUCAGUGGUGAAAGUCUUCCGCUCAACGGGAGAAUUGCCAUUGAUACUGAUUGUCUUGAGUCAUUAUGAAGUGGUUAGAAUGAGUAGUGUAGCGGUGAAAUGCAUAGAUAUUACUCAGAAUACCGAUUGCGAAGGCAGAUCACUAAUAAUGUACUGACGCUGAUGGACGAAAGCGUAGGUAGCGAACAGG
rnacentral:rRNA from 1 species